GGCGCACGGGUGAGUAACACGUGAAUUACAUGCCCUUCAGUGGGGAAUAGCCCAGGGAAACUUGGAUUAAUACCCCAUGGUAUCGCAAGAUUAAAGGUGGCCAGCAAUGGCUGUCGCUGAAGGAUUGGUUCGCGCCCUAUCAGCUUGUUGGCGGGGUAACGGCCCACCAAGGCUACGACGGGUACCUGGUUUGAGAGGACGAUCAGGCACACUGGAACUGAGACACGGUCCAG
rnacentral:rRNA from 1 species